rnacentral:lncRNA from 1 species
GCCCCACCAGGCCCUGCCUGCUGAGCUCCCAGGUGGGUGGCCGCUUGGUGUCUGAUGCAGUCUGCCUCCUGGGCGCAAGCUGGGCCGCCUCCAACCUCCUGGGUGUGACCGCAUGGCCAGGUCCACAUGAACACGGGGCUGCCCAUGCCGUGGCCGAGGGCAGCACCCUGGGAACCCUGCGAUGGUGAGGCUGGAUGGAGGGACUGCGUGAGGGUGGGACUCCAGGCCUGGGAGGCACACUCCAAGGGUGGUUGGACUGGCCAGUCUGAUAUCUGCAGGGCAGGCCGGCAGGUGCGGGCGCUGCUAUCAGGAAGCAGGAUUCUUUCAUUUCUUCCCCUGGGAGCUCAGUGCUGCUCACAUGGCCUUCUGCUGAUUGGGUGAGGCCCACCCAGGUGGCCAAGGACAAUCUCCUUUGCUUCCAGAGGCUGCCGCCCUGCCCACAGUCCUGGGACCCCAACACAGGAAGGCCCCAACUUGCUGACUGGCAUCCCUGCCAGGCCCUGGGCCAGGCCCAGCUCUCUGGCACCUAACCUGGGCCCUUUGCUCGACAGUGUUGCCUGGGUGAGGAGAUGACCUCCUGCCUCAAAGCCGGGGUCCUGCCCAAGCACCCCCACACCUGCAGCCUCAGGCUGGAGUCCUCCUGCACGAGCAGAGAGGAGCCUGUGACAGGCAGGGUGCAGGAGGCCUCCUGCAGGGCGCGAGGCUGAGCUGCUGUGGCCAGGACCUUCCCAGGUGGCGCAGGAACUUGCACCUGGACUUCCCCACGGAAGGUGCCUGAGCCCCAAGGCUGGCCCAGAGCGCCAGGCAGAGAUCCAGUCACCCUUUAGGACCGAGCCUCAGGAGUCUCCUGUUCCACAGGGGACACAGGCCCUUCCAGACUCCAGAGAGGGGACAGAGCCCGCUCCUGGAGAUGAGGGUCCAGGCUUCCUAUAGAAAGAAGAGCAGGGCGGGGUGGGUCCACUGUGGCUGUCCUCUCAGGACAGUGUGUGAGUGUGUGUGUGUGUGUGAGUGUGUGUGUGAGAGAGUGUAUGUGUGAGUGUGUGAGAGAGUGUGCAUGUGUGUGUGAGUGUGAGAUUGUGUGAGUGUGUGAGAGUGUAUGUGUGAGUGUGUGAAUGUGUGUAUGUGAGAGACUGAGUGUGUGUGAAUGUGUGUGAGUGUGUGUGUGAAUGUGUGUGAGUGUGUGUGAAUGUGUGGGAGAGUGUGUGAGAGAGUGUAUGUGUGAGUGUGUGAGAGUGUGCGUGUGUGAAUGUGUGUGAGUGUGUGAGAGAGUGUGCGUGUGUGUGUGAGUGUGAGAUUGUGUGAGUGUGUGAGAGAGUGUAUGUGUGAGUGUGUGAAUGUGUGUAUGUGAAUGUGAGUGAGUGUGUUAGUAUAUGUGAGUGUGAGUGUAUGUGAGUGUGAGUUGUGUGAAUGUGUGUAUGUGAAUGUGAGUGUGAGUGUGGGUGAGUAUAUGUGAGUGUGUGAGAGAGUGCAAGUGUGUGAAUGUGUGUAUGUGAAUGUGAGUGUGAGUAUGAGAGAGUGUGAGUGUGUGAGUGUAUGUGAAUGUGUGUUGCAUGCCUCAAUGUGUGUGUAUGUGAGUGUGUGUGAGUAUAUGUGAGUGCAUGAGUGUGAGUGAGUGUGAGUGUGUGUAGGUGUGACUGGGUGUGAGUGUGUAGUGUGAAUGUGAGUGUGAGAGAGUGUGUGUGAGUGUGUGUGUUCUAUCUAUCCAUCUUCCCUCUCUCCAUCCCCGACUGUCCUGUCUGUGAUCUACCCAUCACUGGCCUCUCUGCUGCUGACCUGGAGAACCGGGCGCCUGCGGUCACUCCUUCAGGCCCUGGGCUGGG